rnacentral:rRNA from 1 species
GAUGAACGCUGGCGGCGUGCCUAAUACAUGCAAGUCGAGCGAACGGACGAGAAGCUUGCUUCCCUGAUGUUAGCGGCGGACGUGUGAGUAACACGUGGAUAACCUACCUAUAAGACUGGGAUCACUUCGGGAAACCGUAGCUAAUACCGGAUAAUAUUUUGAACCGAAUGGUUCCAAAGUGAAAGACGGUCUUGCUGUCACUUAUAGAUGGAUCCGCGCUGACUUAGCUAGUUGGUAAGGUAACGGCAUACCAAGGCAACGAUGCAUAGCCGACCUGAGAGGGUGAUCGGCCACACUGGAACUGAGACACGGUGCAGACACCUACGGGAGGCAGCAGUAGGGAAUCUUCCGCAAUGGGCGAGAGCCUGACGGAGCAACGCCGCGUGAGUGAUGAAGGUCUUCGGAUCGGAAAACUCUGUUAUUAGGGAAGAACAUAUGUGUAAGUAGCUGUGCACAUCUUGACGGUACCUAAACAGAAAGCCACGGCUAACUACGUG